GUGGGGAAUAUUGGACAAUGGGCGCAAGCCUGAUCCAGCCAUACCGCGUGGGUGAAGAAGGCCUUCGGGUUGUAAAGCCCUUUUGUUGGGAAAGAAAUCCUGUCGGUUAAUACCUGGCGGGGAUGACGGUACCCAAAGAAUAAGCACCGGCUAACUUCGUGCCAGCAGCCGCGGUCAUACGAAGGGUGCAAGCGUUACUCGGAAUUACUGGGCGUAAAGCGUGCGUAGGUGGUGGUUUAAGUCCGUUGUGAAAGCCCUGGGCUCAACCUGGGAAUUGCAGUGGAUACUGGAUCACUAGAGUGUGGUAGAGGGAUGCGGAAUUUCUGGUGUAGCAGUGAAAUGCGUAGAGAUCAGAAGGAACAUCAGUGGCGAAGGCGGCAUCCUGGGCCAACACUGACACUGAGGCACGAAAGCGUGGGGAGCAAACAGGAUUAGAUACCCUAGUAGUCC
rnacentral:rRNA from 1 species